AUCAACAGCUACUGGAUGGAUGUUGGAAGUGAUGUCCGUCCCACCCUGACGGUGCUGCCCCCCUCCAGUGAGGAGCUGCUGAAGGGGAAGGCCACGCUCAUGUGCCUGGCCAACAAGGGCUUCCCCUCAGACUGGAGUCUGGCCUGGAAGGUGGACGGCAGCAGCAGCAGCUGGGAGGAGAGCAGGAGCCCCGGGGUGCUGGAGAAGGACGGCAAAUACAGCUGGAGCAGCACCCUGAGGCUCCCUGCAGACCAGUGGGAGAAGGUGGGCUCUGUGACCUGUGAGGCCACCCAGGGCUCCCAGACUCCACUCUCAGAGACACUGAGGAGAGACCAGUGUUCCCAGUCCUGACCU